rnacentral:rRNA from 1 species
GAUGAACGCUGGCGGCGUGCCUAAUACAUGCAAGUCGAGCGAACAGACGAGGAGCUUGCUCCUCUGACGUUAGCGGCGGAUGGGUGAGUAACACGUGGAUAACCUACCUAUAAGACUGGGAUAACUUCGGGAAACCGGAGCUAAUACCGGAUAAUAUUUUGAACCGCAUGGUUCAAUAGUGAAAGACGGUUUUGCUGUCACUUAUAGAUGGAUCCGCGCUGCAUUAGCUAGUUGGUAAGGUAACGGCUUACCAAGGCGACGAUGCGUAGCCGACCUGAGAGGGUGAUCGGCCACACUGGAACUGAGACACGGUCCAGACUCCUACGGGAGGCAGCAGUAGGGAAUCUUCCGCAAUGGGCGAAAGCCUGACGGAGCAACGCCGCGUGAGUGAUGAAGGUCUUCGGAUCGUAAAACUCUGUUAUUAGGGAAGAACAAAUGUGUAAGUAACUAUGCACAUCUUGACGGUACCUAAUCAGAAAGCCACGGCUAACUACGUG